GAUCGUGCUCAGGACGAACGCUGGCGGCGCGCCUAACACAUGCAAGUCGAACGGAGCUGAGAGGAGCUUGCUUUUCUUAGCUUAGUGGCGAACGGGUGAGUAACGCGUGAGUAACCUGCCCUGGAGUGGGGGACAACAGUUGGAAACGACUGCUAAUACCGCAUAAGCCCACGGUACCGCAUGGUACUGAGGGAAAAGGAUUUAUUCGCUUCAGGAUGGACUCGCGUCCAAUUAGCUAGUUGGUG
rnacentral:rRNA from 1 species